CCUCUUCUUUCCCAAGAAACCCUAGGUCAAGCGCUGCCGCCUCCCUCUUCCUUCCUCUCCCCGAUCCAGAUCCCUCCUCUGCCGCCCCUCCUCCCAUCCACCACCCCUCCUGUUCCAGUCGCCCCCGCAGCAGCCACGGCCGGAUGGCUUGCUGGUGUGCGUGUGCUUCUAUGCGCGCCGCUUCGUCAUUCCCCACCCUAGCAGUCGAUCCCAGCUGCCGCUGCUUCACCGGCCUCCUCGAUCUCUCCUGCGGCCACUAGUGACCACCCAACUCCACUCUCGAUCCCCAAAGGCAAAGGCAGAGCCAGCCGCCGGCGGCCUCCGUUGUCUUCCCCAACCCCGGCCUUCACUCCAUCGUUGGCGCCCUCUCCCCUUCUCUCCCUCUCCGUAGAUCCUCUCGAGCAACGUUGCCCACGGCCAGAUCCGCUCCCUCCUCGCCGCCGCCACCCACCGCCCCGUCUGACCUCGUCGCCGGCCGCCGGUCCCGCUCUCUUCCCCCCACACCCGCCACCCCCUCCCUCUCCUCCUCCCAUCAGAAGAGAAGAGGGAUCUCGCGCGGAUCGCACCAGAGCAUCGAUCUGGACCUCCGUCUGCACGAGGGGACGGCUGCGUCUCGUCCUCGUCCCACCUCAGGCGGGGUCCAGAUCGAGCCGGACUCGCGUCGUCGUCAAGAGCCGACCUCGACGGAGACGAGAGGAAGCCUUCUUCCUUCGUCUUCCUUCGACCUCGGCAUGUCGCUCCCCAGCUACUCCGACUCUGCCAAGGUUGCCUACGUCCUCCAGGCGUGUGGAGCUUCUGUAAGAGAGGUCACAAGAUUUGUGCCGGGAUCCUUGAACUGUAUCUUGAGUUGAAGUGCCUGCCUAUUUCCUCCUCUUUUUGGCUGGAUGCUUUUUGGACUUCCAGUAUCGCAUGUUUGUUCUUUUGAACAGAAGAUUAAGGGGUUCAAGGAUGCCGAGACUAGUAUAGUACUAACUGUGAAACCAGAUCUUUUUUUCAUGCAUGCGACUGUGAGACUUUUCUGAAUUGUAGAUGGUCGCGGAUGAAUAUACCUUGUUGGGUUCAGACUCUAGUUUAGAUGGAAGAGGCUUGAGCUGGGAUGAGUGAGAGAUUGCUAUUUCAUCUGCUGGAGAUAGAUUGAGAGAGAGGGGUGCUGAUUAGUGUAGUCUGUGAUUGAGAGAAUGCUUGCUGCUGCUAUUUAUGCUUACUGAUUGAUUAUACAGUGAUUAUGCUGCUAUUUGUACUUGUUGAUGUUAUUGUUGCCAUCCGAUGCAUAUUGUUGUGAUCCAUAGCUUACUGCCUUGCCUGCAAGUGUCAUGCUGGCGACCGGGUUCGGAGCGCUCGGAUCGAAGGUGGUCGAGCACUGGUACGAGCUCUACAAGAUGGACAAGCAGGGGGCCAACCUCUGGUACGGUUCAUCUACUGGUGGGAGGAAAAGGUCUCAGGUCCAUGACAUCUCCCUGAACCACUACUCAAUGUGGAGUCGAUGAAGCACUACACCUGGCUUGCUCGCCGGCGCGCGUGUGCGUGCUUCGAUGCGCGGCGCUUCAUCGUGCUGGCCGGACCGGGGCAAUCGCCAGAGCCGGAGCCGGAGGAGCCGACGAGGUGCUGCUGCUGGGGCUGCGUCCUUGGAGGCUGCUGCUGCCCCUCGCCGACCUCACCAACCUCCGGCGUCCGCCAUGAGCUCCGCGCAGGACCCCUUCUUCAUUGUCCGGGAGGAGAUCCAGGGCUCGGUUUUAGCGAUCAGCCGUCUUUCAUCAAAGGUGCAUGGUGCAACGGAGGACAAGCGCUUCAUGUCCAACCAAGGUGCAUGGUGCUCGCAAUUGAUGAACAGGAGGUCUACGAAAUUUGAAGUUCGAAGCCAGAUAGCCCUACUCAGCAAAGAGUCGUCUCUUUUGUUUGACUGUAAUAGACUGUAAAUGUUGUUAUAUUGUAAUUGUAGGCAUAUUUGGGUUGUUAUAGACUAUGUACAGAUUGUAGUAGACUUAGCGUUAGUUGAUGAACUACAUUUGUAAUGUUCUGUUUGAAAUAUUGAUUAUGUAUGUGAUUUGAAAA